GACGGAGGAUGCAAGCGUUAUCCGGAAUGAUUGGGCGUAAAGCGUCCGCAGGUGGCAGUUCAAGUCUGCUGUCAAAGACCGGGGCUUAACUUCGGAAAGGCAGUGGAAACUGAACAGCUAGAGUAUGGUAGGGGCAGAGGGAAUUCCUGGUGUAGCGGUGAAAUGCGUAGAGAUCAGGAAGAACAUCGGUGGCGAAGGCGCUCUGCGGGACCAUAACUGACACUAAGGGACGAAAGCUAGGGGAGCGAAUGGG
rnacentral:rRNA from 1 species